rnacentral:piRNA from 1 species
UGGUGGUGCAGAGCGUGGGCACGGAU